AGCGGCGAAAGGGAUAGUAACACGUAGAUCACGUGCCCUCGGGUCAGGGAUAGCGUCGGGAAACUGACGGUAAUACCAGAUAAUGUCUCCGGACCAAAGAUUUAUCGCCCGAGGAGCGGUCUGCGUCCUAUUAGCUAGUUGGUGGGGUAAUAGCCUACCAAGGCGAAGAUGGGUAGCGGGUGUGAGAGCACGACCCGCAUCACUGGGACUGAGAUACUGCCCAGACACCUACGGGUGGCUGCAGUCGAGAAUCUUCCGCAAUGGGGGAAACCCUGACGGAGCGACGCCGCGUGCGGGAUGAAGGCCUUCGGGUUGUAAACCGCUGUCGUAGGGGAGCAAAUUUUGAGCGAUCCUAGGAGGAAGCACCGGCUAAACUCGUGCCAGCAGCCGCGGUAAUACGAGUGGUGCAAACGCUAUUCGGAAUCACUGGGCUUAAAGGGUGCGUAGGCGGCCAUGAAGGUCUGAUGUGAAAUACCACGGCUCAACCGUGGAAUGGCAUUGGAAACCAUAUGGCUGGAGUGAGACAGAGGUGAGCGGAACAGAUGGUGGAGCGGUGAAAUGCGUUGAUAUCAUCUGGAACACCGGUGGCGAAAGCGGCUCACUGGGUCUUUACUGACGCUGAGGCACGAAAGCUAGGGGAGCAAACGGGAUUAGAUACCCCGGUAGUCCUAGCUGUAAACGAUGAGUACUAGU
rnacentral:rRNA from 1 species